ACUCCUACGGGAGGCAGCAGUAGGGAAUCUUCGGCAAUGGACGAAAGUCUGACCGAGCAACGCCGCGUGAGUGAAGAAGGUUUUCGGAUCGUAAAGCUCUGUUGUAAGAGAAGAACGUGUGUGAGAGUGGAAAGUUCACACAGUGACGGUAACUUACCAGAAAGGGACGGCCAACUACGUGCCAGCAGCCGCGGUAAU
rnacentral:rRNA from 1 species